UACGUAGGGGGCAAGCGUUGUCCGGAUUUAUUGGGCGUAAAGAGCUCGUAGGCGGUGUGUCGCGUCGGUCGUGAAAACUUGGGGCUUAACCCUGAGCUUGCGGUCGAUACGGGCAUCACUGGAGUUCGGCAGGGGAGACUGGAAUUCCUGGUGUAGCGGUGAAAUGCGCAGAUAUCAGGAGGAACACCGGUGGCGAAGGCGGGUCUCUGGGCCGAUACUGACGCUGAGGAGCGAAAGCGUGGGGAGCGAACAGG
rnacentral:rRNA from 1 species